UGGCUCACACUGCCUUGCUCAGUAGUGAUUGUCAUUAGCUAUGAAGCACAGAAAGUGUAGUUCCUGGUUGUCUGUGAACAAUGAAGCAUUUCAGAUCAACGUGGGAGGAGGAAUAACAUGGGAUUGAUAGCAAAUCGGCAUUCAUUCAUUCAUUGGCUCUCGAAUAUUUGAAAAAAGAAUGGUUAUCCCGAAGACCCAGCCUACACACCUGGACAAUAGGUUGGGAGCAGUGAUGACCCAGUUCAAGAUGAAAUUGAAUCAAUCCCACUUCGCUGUCCCAGAUAUUGUUGGAGUUUUGUUUUCCCCUCACCCUGAGUUGGGAAAGUUGCCUGAAUGAUUUGUGCCUGAGCGCUCUUAUCUAGAGUGGAACGUAAAGUUGUGACCAUUUUCACUGGGAAAAUAGGUGAUUUGUCUGGAGGAGAGUAUCCCAAGUUCCAGACUCGAAUGCUAUGUGCCCUUUUAUGUUACCUUCUUCACCAUGGGGGAACCCCCAGUAAUAAAAAGUCUCCCAUUCCUCUCCUUCAA